rnacentral:rRNA from 1 species
UACGAAGGGGGCUAGCGUUGCUCGGAAUCACUGGGCGUAAAGCGCACGUAGGCGGCUUGUUAAGUCAGGGGUGAAAUCCUGGAGCUCAACUCCAGAACUGCCUUUGAUGCUGGCGAGCUUGAGUCCGGGAGAGGUGAGUGGAACUGCGAGUGUAGAGGUGAAAUUCGUAGAUAUUCGCAAGAACACCAGUGGCGAAGGCGGCUCACUGGCCCGGUACUGACGCUGAGGUGCGAAAGCGUGGGGAGCAAACAGG